CUGUGACCUACAAAGUAAACAGCGUGUCAGGGUCGCUUCUGGCCCUCCUUAUCUCUCGUCCUCCGUUUCCCAUGUUUUUGCACCUUCAUCAGCACUGACCCCACCGCUGCGUGCUGCUGUAUUUAUUCACCGCCUGAGGCCUGAACCCGCUGCUUCUGACGAGUCACAAACACUGAAUCCAUUUCUAGAAAGGCGUUUAAAGACGCUUUGCAGCCGUGCCGCUAAUCUGCAUAUUCAGCCGUCCUCCUUUUAUUGACGUGCUCUUACUACUUAGCUUUGACGCACGGGUCUUGAAACGCAGACAAAAUAUUUGCCUCGUCCCUCUCGCGUGGCUUUUCUGAUGAAACUUCUUUGUUUGUCCCGCGUGUGAGCCGCAGCUGCUGCCGCUCAGUCGCGCCGUACUAGAAAUGACGUCAAGACAGCGAGCGAGAGAGAGAGGGCGAGAGAGAGAGAGAGGGAGACAGAGAGAGAGAACACGAGAGAGUCACUUGCUCUUCGCUCGUCUUCAUUGUCACACAACAGGAAUGUUCAGCGCUGAGCAAGAGUCCACACGUCACUUCAUCUGUUUUGGUUUGGGCGUCGUAAUACUUUAGCAGGACGCCGUUGUUCUAACAUUGAAAGAAUUAAAAAGUUACAAAAAAAAAACCAAAAAAAAAAACCUAACCAUCAAAAGCAGCAUUGUUUAUUUUCUUCACAAAUUCAUGCAUGUUGUCAACCUUCAUUCCCACAGCACCAGUUUCAGUUUUUUUUUUCUUCCAUCAAUAGAAAAAAAAAAAAGGUCAGUGUAAAUUCACACUUCUGCAUGCAAAGAAAAGUCACUUUCCCUCCCACUUAUUUUUUUUUUCUCCAUUUGAAGUCCCCGUGUGUAGCAGCAACACUGUGAAAGGCCUGACCUGAUAUGUCAAUGGAUGUACUGGUGGAGGCACUAGAUAAUGAUGCUGGAUACAGAUCCCACUUCUUCUCCAUCUUUGCCAAUAAAAAAAAAUAACUGUUUAAAAUUAGGGCCA
rnacentral:lncRNA from 1 species